rnacentral:pre_miRNA from 1 species
AGGAGGAACUACCACAGUGGCAGCGGCAGGAUCUGGAGCCCUGGAUUCAGCUCCCCCAGUAACUACGGAGCUCUCUGUCUGUAGGGGCCUGGAUCCUCCGCGGGCAG